GAUGAACGCUGGCGGCGUGCCUAAUACAUGCAAGUCGAGCGAACAGACGAGGAGCUUGCUCCUCUGACGUAUGCGGCGGACGGGUGAGUAACACGUGGAUAACCUACCUAUAAGACUUGGAUAACUUCGGGAAACCGGAGCUAAUACCGGAUAAUAUAUUGAACCGCAUGGUUCAAUAGUGAAAGACGGUUUUGCUGUCACUUAUAGAUGGAUCCGCGCCGCAUUAGCUAGUUGGUAAGGUAACGGCUUACCAAGGCAACGAUGCGUAGCCGACCUGAGAGGGUGAUCGGCCACACUGGAACUGAGACACGGUCCAGACUCCUACGGGAGGCAGCAGUAGGGAAUCUUCCGCAAUGGGCGAAAGCCUGACGGAGCAACGCCGCGUGAGUGAUGAAGGUCUUCGGAUCGUAAAACUCUGUUAUUAGGGAAGAACAAAUGUGUAAGUAACUAUGCACGUCUUGACGGUACCUAAUCAGAAAGCCACGGCUAACUACGUG
rnacentral:rRNA from 1 species